AGCUUUUCUCCCCAGUAUGACUCCUAUGACGUGAAGGCUGGCUCAGCUGGUAUCGGUUACCAACAGCCCAUUAGUGGCUUCCCAGGACCCCCUGGCCCCAGUGGCCCCCCUGGCCCACCUGGUCAUGCAGGUCCACCUGGCUCUGCUGGAUAUCAAGGUUCCCCUGGAGAACCAGGACAGCCUGGCCCUCCUGUAC